GCCAUCGUGGACCACGGUGGUCGUCGCGGCUCCAUUGCACAUCUACUUGAGGCUCUCCAUGCGAAGCCGGAGGUUCGACUCCUCCCGAUGGCA